rnacentral:rRNA from 1 species
UACGGAGGAUGCAAGCGUUAUCCGGAUUUAUUGGGUUUAAAGGGUGCGCAGGUUGUUUGAUAAGUCAGUGGUGAAAGUCUGUCGCUUAACGGUAGGAUUGCCAUUGAUACUGUUGGACUUGAAUAUGGAUGAGGUAGGCGGAAUGUGUAGUGUAGCGGUGAAAUGCAUAGAUAUUACACCGAACACCGAUUGCGAAGGCAGCUUACUAAUCCAUCAUUGACGCUGAGGCACGAAAGCGUGGGGAGUCAAACAGGA